ACCGGACAAUAUAUUGAACCGCAUGGUUCAAUAGUGAAAGACGGUUUUGCUGUCACUUAUAGAUGGAUCCGCGCCGCAUUAGCUAGUUGGUAAGGUAACGGCUUACCAAGGCAACGAUGCGUAGCCGACCUGAGAGGGUGAUCGGCCACACUGGAACUGAGACACGGUCCAGACUCCUACGGGAGGCAGCAGUAGGGAAUCUUCCGCAAUGGGCGAAAGCCUGACGGAGCAACGCCGCGUGAGUGAUGAAGGUCUUCGGAUCGUAAAACUCUGUUAUUAGGGAAGAACAAAUGUGUAAGUAACUAUGCACGUCUUGACGGUACCUAAUCAGAAAGCCACGGCUAACUACGUGCCAGCAGCCGCGGUAAUACGUAGGUGGCAAGCGUUAUCCGGAAUUAUUGGGCGUAAAGCGCGCGUAGGCGGUUUUUUAAGUCUGAUGUGAAAGCCCACGGCUCAACCGUGGAGGGUCAUUGGAAACUGGAAAACUUGAGUGCAGAAGAGGAAAGUGGAAUUCCAUGUGUAGCGGUGAAAUGCGCAGAGAUAUGGAGGAACACCAGUGGCGAAGGCGACUUUCUGGUCUGUAACUGACGCUGAUGUGCGAAAGCGUGGGGAUCAAACAGGAUUAGAUACCCUGGUAGUCCACGCCGUAAACGAUGAGUGCUAAGUGUUGGGGGGUUUCCGCCCCUUAGUGCUGCAGCUAACGCAUUAAGCACUC
rnacentral:rRNA from 1 species